rnacentral:rRNA from 1 species
GGAUUAGAUACCCGGGUAGUCCACGCCGUAAACUAUGGAUGCUAGCUGUUAACCGUAUCGACCCGGUUAGUAGCGAAGCUAACGCGUUAAGCAUCCCGCCUGUGGAGUACGGUCGCAAGACUAAAACAUAAAGGAAUUGACGGGGACCCGCACAAGCGGUGGAGCGUGUUCUUUAAUUCGAAGGUAAGCGAAGAACCUUACCAGGGUUUGACAUCCCGAUCGUCGUUCUCCGAAAGGAGAAUUUCAUUUAGUUGGAUCGGUGACAGGUGUUGCAUGGCCGUCGUCAGCUCGUGUCGUGAGAUGUUUGGUUAAGUCCAUCAACGAGCGCAACCCUUGUAUUCAGUUGGAUUUUUCUGAAUAGACUGCCCCGGCAACGGGGAGGAAGGAGGGGAUG